GACGAACGCUGGCGGCGUGCCUAAUACAUGCAAGUUGAGCGCUGAAGGUUGGUACUUGUACCAACUGGAUGAGCAGCGAACGGGUGAGUAACGCGUGGGGAAUCUGCCUUUGAGCGGGGGACAACAUUUGGAAACGAAUGCUAAUACCGCAUAAAAACUUUAAACACAAGUUUUAAGUUUGAAAGAUGCAAUUGCAUCACUCAAAGAUGAUCCCGCGUUGUAUUAGCUAGUUGGUGAGGUAAAGGCUCACCAAGGCGAUGAUACAUAGCCGACCUGAGAGGGUGAUCGGCCAAAUUGGGACUGAGAAACGGCCCAAACUCCUACGGGAGGCAGCAGUAGGGAAUCUUCGGCAAUGGACGAAAGUCUGACCGAGCAACGCCGCGUGAGUGAAGAAGGUUUUCGGAUCGUAAAACUCUGUUGGUAGAGAAGAACGUUGGUGAAAGUGGAAAGCUCAUCAAGUGACGGUAACUACCCAGAAAGGGACGGCUAACUACGUG
rnacentral:rRNA from 1 species